UGAUCGGCAGACAGCAUCUGGGGGAUGUUAUUUGGUGCAGCAUUAUCUUUUUGAUAGCAGGUAGCUCAAAGCUGACGCAAGAAAAAAAAGAACUAUAGGCAUAUGUUAUUUGGUAUUGCACCUAUAAUGAAAGAUUGCUUUUGGAAAAGGUGUCUGCAGAAGAUUACAUGUGAUGUUUAUGAAAAAAUGUCUGAUAAGGAAACAAAACAUGAAACCAACACUGAAAUUGAAGAAACGUUUGAUUGAGACUUCAGCAGGUAGGUCUCUUUGAUGAUGACAAGGAAGCUUGGCUUUUCCCUCUUAGCUCCCUUUGUCCUCUAUCCGGCUCUGAAGGCUCUUGUCUUCAGCCUUCAGCUUUGUCUCAAGCGGGCACCUGGUAGUUGUGGAAGCUCCUCUCUAUCUCGUCUGGUGUCUGUGGAGGCAGCACGGGCAUUGAGUUUCCUGAUACUUGAUUGAUAGGUGCCACAUAAUGGAAACAAUUUUACUUCAGCGCUGUGAGCAGAGUCCUUCGUUCAAUUUUCUCCCUUGACAUGACCCUGCCUAUUUUGUCCUUCACCUACGGCUGAUGCAGGAUAGCCUUUUAGCAUUCACCGCUCACAGCCCUGACCUCCUCUCAGCCGUUGAUAUCACUUCCCGAGCACCACCACCUCACUCUAAAGCCUUUUGCCUUUUAAGAGAAGCCUCAUUUGCCUCCCAUGUGCCCCUCUGGGUCCAGGGAACUCACCAUGGGGAUGCCUGGGUUGGUCGCCCCCAGGGGGGCCCAGGAGAGCUAGCGUCUUCCUACAUGGCUCAUUGUGGUUACAGACUGGGUUAAACUCCAAUCUGAGUCUUGUCCAGAGUUGGGUUUCAGGUGUAGUCUGGGCACAAAGUUAAUUUUGACAUCACUGUAUAGAUUUCUAAAACUUUUUUCAUAGGGUAUAAGUACUGUAAAAAUGGAUAAAUAAAAAGGUAUUUUAAUUAGAGAUUAAUAAUAUUAGGGUAAUAUUACAGUUGGUUGCAGUUUAUAUAAAUUAGUUUGUGUGAUAUGUACUUCAGCACGUGUGUUAUCCCUGACAGUCUAACGUCGUAGUGGUAAAAUGUCAAUCUUUGAUUUGUCUUUGUUAAUUGGUUUGUACUGACACUAACAGCCAAUCCAACUCCGUUCUUGGGUAGAUGGGUGGGGCUUAGGCGGCCAUCAAGUUUUAGGCCUCUACGCUCCAAAGCUAUGACUCUCGUUUGUCACGUGUGUGCGAAACUGGGCGGCAUAUUAUAUUGAUGUUCACGUGUAAUAAAUGUCAAACUGUUUUUGUUAAAUGCUUUUGAAGUCUGUUUGCUCAGUUGAAGUCCAGUACAAAAAUGUUCUGGCAAGAGCUGGUUAAAAGUGGUAACAAACAAAAAAUAUGAGACAACGGACUUAAUAAGAGGCAUCAACCUUUUGUUUUAUUCAUCAAAUUUGAUUGUAGGCACCACCAUUUAUAUGAGUUUUCAAAAUAAGGGAACAACAAUUAUAAGACAAAUAGUAUUAAGGUAUAAGAACAGGUAAUGAUAGGGCCAUUAUAUUCAAAACUGAACCCAGGGCUCCGCCCAUAGUACUACUACACCUAGCAGAUUAUCUUAUUGUUAUACAGCCACAUGGGACGGAUGUUACACAAACAUGAGAAAAUAUUUGUUCCAUUGAGUGCAACUCUGUCAUACAGACAACAAGUUGCCAUUAAAGGAAUUGCCAUGGUCAGAUGUGACAAUGGUACUUGGUGUUUGGCAGUAGCAUUGAAACAGCAGUCCAUUUUUGUCCUGACAAACAGAGUGCGUCAUUGAGGUAUUAAAAAGUCAACAAUUUUGGAACAAAACUAACCUCAUCGUCCAAGAAAUGAGACCUUUGGGGAAACCAUGUGCGUUCCCUUCUGGCAUAUCCAACAUUUCUCUGCAUCAAACGACACACACACAGACACACACACAUACAACAUGGAUGAAGCGUGACAGCGGUCCGUGAGUGAGGAGUUAGCAGGUGGGGUCACCACCCUCCCCCUCUUUAGAGCUGACACACAGAAAGAAGAAACACUUAGGCCCAACACACACAGACUCCUGCACAUGCAUUCAUGCUCACUGAGACUCCUUGAUACCCAAUGGGGAGAUGAGCGUUCAAGCCUCCGUUAAAGCCCCAGCUGUCCCCUGCAGCCCCCCAUUCUUUCUCCCUCCUCAUCUCUUCAUGCACUCUGUAUCUCCACCCCCCUCUCUCUCUCUCUCUCUCUCUCACUCACACAAACACAUGCAUCUGUGUGCAAACACAUACUCGACAAUGCCCACACACUUGGCUUAGCAUCUGUGCAGGCAUCGUAGCCUCUAGUAUACACAGUCUUUGAGCUAAAGCGCCGUAUAAGCUUCUCCGUCUGUUUUUCCAGCCGCUCAAUGUGCAUGUGCGCCCUUAAUCUACUCACUGCGAUACUGGCUACAACAUUCGGAGGGGUAAAGGUUGGCCUCAGGGCGGCUUUCUCGGCUUUGUUUGAUCCACGCAGAUUGGCUUCCGUUGGCAACAGAGUGUGCGUGUUUCUGCACUUCCGCAUGUACCGUACAUGUGCUCGCUCUUGUAUGUUUAUACAUGUUUACGGUUAUCUCCCUGGUGUUAUUGACUUCGAUGGACAUGUAUUGAGGAUAUAUGAGUGUGUUUCUGCGUACCGUUUUCCUUCCAAAAAUCUCCUCCACAGGCCACGUAGCACCUGUGGUUGAGUGGAACGAGGUGCAAGAGAGAAAGACGAGCAGGUGAUGCAGGUGUUGACUGCCUCAUCACAUCAAACUAGUGGGGUUAAAUCUGAAAUGAUGUCAAAGAAAACUCUGCAGAAUAGUAUUUAUUCCUCCACACCAACAAUGGUGUUUCCAUCGGUCUCGAUUAAGAAAUACUACUUUUGAGCCUUGCAGACUUUCUCAUACUUGAUCUCAUACAUGAUCAAACUUCUAGCUCGUUCAGCAUUCUGACAGAAAGAACAAAAACACGAUGUAUUAAAACACAGUUACACCAGUUACCCAUUCUGGACACAAGUCAUUUGUUCAGAUUAAGCUGGUUAGGUGUGGACGUGAUUCAUGUGAAGGAGGAUAAUGAACAUCAAGAUUUGAUUUAGUUGCUAAAACUCUUGUUUUUAUUGUUACUUGGGAUCAUAGCUCACUAAUAUAUUCUUCCUGAGGAAUGGAUGUAAUCAACACAAAUUGUCAAAUGGUGCAAAUGGGCAGGUGCCUUCAUUUUUCCGAUUGGCCUUUGGGUGCAAACGCUGCAAGCAAGAAACUCGUGUUUCUGUACCAGGAAUCCCUGUGAGGAGAGGGAGGUGGGAGGUGGGAGGAGAGGGAGGAGUGGGAGGAUCAAGUGGCCGCAUUUUGUCCUUUUCCUCCUCAGCAGGUGAUGCUCAUGUGUUCAGCUCGGAGCAAUUAACCCCGAAGUGUGUAAAUGGAUUAACAUAGAUGUGGGAGGGAUUUCUUUCUGCCAAGCAGGGUGGGUUUUAUUUUCUUUCUUUUUUUACUUUUAAGCCUCUUUCUUAUCAUUAUUUUGUUUGCCUGGGGCUGUGGGGGUCUCCGAAGGAGUUUCUAAAGAGCAAUGAUGACUGGAGGGAAAAGGAAGUUGCACUUAUGGUUAGAAUCCUCCUGAGAUCCAACUAUUCUAAAGUGGUAGAAAAUGGUUGCUUAAUGAUAUAGAUUUUAAUUAGGGCUGUCAAUAGAUUUUUUUUAAAUUGACUAAUUAAUCGCACCUUUUGAAAUUCAUUCAUCUCUAUUAAUGGCGAUUAAAGAAUGUUUUUUUUUUCUGAAGACUAAAUCUUAAAAGAAAUGAGUGAUCACUUUAGAAAGCGUGUAUUUUUGACACUGUUCUUUAAUUGUUAAUCUUAUUUUAAACACAAAACUACACACAUUUGAUCAUCUUGGAGGCAGAAUUCCACCGGGUGGAACAUGUUCAACUCUCCAUAAUUUGACGGCUGUGUUUGAAGUGCCAAUAAUCUCCCCACAUUUGGCAACAACGUUUUCAAACGUCUUUUAGGGACACCGUGGUGGUCCUCUGCAGACAUCUUGAUGUAACUGACUGCAGCCAUAGAUAUCUAAAGGUUAGAUGUCUCGUCCGCGUUGCCGGCCAACGGAGUCGAACAUCCGCACAUGGCGGCCAUCUUGCCAGUCAGCUCGUCACCCAUAACAUUGUGUUAGUGGUUCAUUUACUUUUAAAUAACCAUAACCCAAUUUUCAACCGUUUUAAACGGUUUGGUUUGUUAUAAACGUCAGAGAUGUAGUUAUGACACUGCAUACUAUGAAUAAUUAUGUUGUUCUAAAAAAUAGAAUAAUUUUCCAAAAUAGGGUACAAGAUUUCCCUACACAAUUUCUCUUUUACAAAUAUACAUCAAGAAAUGCUGCAUGUUGUUGAAAUCCCCACUCUGUACAGAGAUGUAUUUAUGACUCUGCAAACUUAUGAAUAAUUAGAAUUAUAACCAUGGGUUUUCAUAAGGAAAUAACAUUAAACAGAACAGAUAUGUGCAAUAAAUACACACAUGCACGAGGGAUGUUAUUUAUGUUGACUCAAUAUAUAGGCUACUAAAACUCAGCAUACAGAAUGGCAACAUGAGAUAUAUGUAUACUUUUAUAAUAGAAAUAUUACUAAUAUAAUAGAAUACGUUUGUAUGCACAGUAUGGUUUAAGUACAAACAACUUUUUGUUUGGUUUUACAGGACUGAUCUUUGCACCACACUGUUGGUUCCCUCAACUUACUGGUUUUGUCACACUCACCUGCCAGCUUGAUCUUCCACACCUGCCCCGCAUCCACAAUCAGUCACUCUCCUGCCUUCCACACCUGCUUCGCAUUCACAAUCAGCCCCGCUACAUAAGCACUGCACACCCAGCCUGUCAUUGCCAGAUUGUUCUUCGCGUCAUGCAAGUCUCUCCAGCACUCUACCUUGGACUGAUCUCCUGGUUUCGACCCUGCCUGUUCCCGACCCGUUCGCCUGUCUCCGCCCCGGUGAGCACGUCAGCCUUCUGUCCCCGACCACGAGUCCUGCCUGAGCGCCUCGGGUUUCUGUUGCCUGCUCCUUGGACUGCCCGGCGCCUCUGCCCCUGUGCUCCGGAUCCCCGACCGGCCCAGCGAUCGCACCAGCUGCCUCCCGGCAUCUCCUCCCCGAUCCUGAGCACCGCACUCUGCUCUGCCUCUCAUUGUGCCCCAACGCCUGCUGUGAGGCCGUGUUCAAUAAAAGCGUUAACUAAACACUCCGUGCCGUUGUGCUGCAUUUGGCUCCGCCACACGCCCGUGUCAGGUUUACACCUCCCGUUACUUUCUAUUCUUAUUUAUUGUUGUUGUGAUUCCUUAUUUUUAUUGAUUUCACUGUUUGGGUCAUUUUUUAUCUCUGUCCUCCAUGUGUAUACCUCCACAGUAGUCUACCUCUCUCUUGAGGGCGGGAAUUUUCAACAUGCAGCAUUUCUUGAUGUAUAUUUGUGGGAAAGGGAAAUUGUAUUACUGCAAAUAAAUGUCACUUUUAUAAAAAAUAUUACCAAUAUAAUUUAUUUGAAUUAUUACACAAACUACUGUAUCAAUUUGAUUGAUUAUGCAAUCACAAAAGCAAAAACUAAAUUUCAUCAGUCUAAGCUGUUUGGAUCACGCUCCCCUGACAGACUUGUAACGUCGCCAUAAACAUCUUGAACUGUAAAUGGCACAGAGCUGUUGGGGGAGCCUGAGCCGCCUCAGUGGAUCUCCUUUUGCUUACAUAGAUGAGCAACCCCUGACACGCCACAUCUUACCAUGCAUAAUUCAUGGAUGCAGGAUCAACCACUGAUCUCUGAAGAUGGUAUGGGUCAAAUUUGUGUUUAAGUAGCAAACUUUUGAUUCUGUCUCAGUGGAGAACAUUGGGAAAAGAAUAUGCGAUGCUUUGAAGCACUUUGAGAGGAGAGGAGAUCCACAGAGAGCUCAGUGAGAAAAGGGCCUGAACGGUGGGAGGACUGAGAGAACAAGAAAGGUUUCAUUAACACUGCUGAACACCAAACCCGUGCUCAUGUUUAUAUUUUUCGACAACAUUGCGGUUGCAUCAUUUUCUGUCUUGUUGAUAUCUUAGCCUGUCAAGUGCUGCAGGAAGGAGUCAGAAAGCCAUAGACAGCAUGUGUCUUCCAGAAGUCAAUGGGUUUCCCGAAUGGGGUUUUUGGUUAAAUACCUAAAACAAAGUCUGGGUGGAGCACAAGCUCAAGUAAUUUGCAUUUGUUAAUAAAAAUAUCAGAUAAUACCCCUUUGUCAAAUCUUUGUGCUUUUAUGUGUUUUAAAAAAAGAUGAGACAACAAAAAGCCACUAUACCAUCCUGGUUUCCUCACGCACAUGUGACCGUGUUUACAAUAUAAACACCCGCUUUCAAAUGGGUUACUUUAAACAUUUAUCUAAAGAAGGUUGCUAAACCAGCUGCUGUGGAAGCCAAAUAUAUAAAGAAAACCUAGUCAUUAAAUGUAUUCACUCACUAUGCUCUCUUUCUCCUUCUCUCUCCCGCUGACACACACACACACAAGGUCCAGAGUGCACAUUCUGCACAUAUUCUAAGGAACACCCAUCCCAUAAGUCAGCCUGCAUGAGCUUUUGGGAACUAAAAUGUAAAUAACAACAGACAGGAGAGUAGUUCCUGCUAAGAAAGAGACUGUGACUAAAUUAGUGCAGUCUGCGUGGUACAUCUCAACUGUCAUGUUUGAGGCGUUUAUGUAAAGAACACAUACACUUUCUAACACACACACAUGCACAUAGUACAUAUAUACCUUUGGUCUUGAUCAUUUUGCGUCAACUUCCACUGCAUUAUUUAUGUUGAAGGGAGCAUAUCCUGAGGAGACGUUGUCCUCCACCGACCCCAGAGUUCUGUUUGUGUGCUCGCAUAUUGAGAUGAUGUGCCUAUAUGAGAGAAUGACCCGACAUUGCCAAUUACACAAAUUCAAAAAUAGAGAUAAACGAGGGAUGAUAUCAUCACUGGAAUAAAACAGCCUUCCUGCCAUCAUAUGGCUGUGGAACAGAAACGCAUGCAAAUACAGGGCUGGUGAAACGCUGGUGCUUCCAUUCGGUCCGGUCUGAGUUUUUCUUGAAAUUGAGGAAAUCUUUUUUGUCAUUCAAAUUGACGCGCGUCAAACUGGUUGGCAUGAUAGCAUGCUGUGCUGUUUUCAGGACUCCUGUGUGUUUAGGUUUUGAUCCUAGAGUGGCAAAGCUUCUUUCUCUAUCUUACUUCAUUCCGUCCUGCCUUGCCCUCGGUCCCGUCACCAAGUUGCUUAUUGUCGUCUUCUGUCAUUUCUAUCAAAAGGUUAAAGGAGGAUUAUUCUCAGUUUCUUUUAAGUUAAUGUGCUCCUUGACAUCACAGUGAGAUGAAGCACAUCAGAAAAAGUGGGUCUACAUAGGUGUUUGUUCGACAUCAAAGGUUAAAUAUCUAACAUGACUGUGAGUAUUGAGUCAUUUGUUUUAUUAAUUUUGUUGUUGUGCACAAUUUUCCACCCCCCAAAAAAGAAUGAAAUCUUGUUGAAUUGCUUAUUUGCGGUAAAAUAGAAACCUCACACGUCUGGGUGGUAAUUUCUCCUGACAGGAAGCACUUUUAAACGUUUGAGAGGCCGCGCUGCCAGGAUUCACCCUGUUGACUUUAUGCCCUUGUGCCCUAGUCCCUAGUGAAGUGAGUGACAUGAUUAUGUAUUAUGUUGGCUCAGUGGAGUGGAGGCACAAUAAUGCUCUGAACACAUUAUUUAACACUGACUAGCAACUGGGGGGCUUAUUUUUUGUUUCUCUAGCUGAAGAAAGCUGAGGUUUCCUUAAUAGUGUUAGCAUUCACACUCAACUACUUCCUACAUUUCCUCUCCACCUCUAUUUUUUAUAUAUAUAUUGCAAUAUUUCUCCUUACCAAAUGCUCCAAAACUAAGUUCAAUCAGGAGGGACUUCUUGAAUUUCACAAUAAUGUAUUAAUACAUUUGAAUAUUGCAAAGUCCUCUGAUAAGCCGGGUUUUGCUGCUGGUUGGAGGUCUCCUGGUGGAGGGCUGCAUCUGCUGCGCCCGGAGAUGACAACUGACAGCAACACAGAGGACAACAGUUUCAAAAGUUUGACAGUACGGAUGUGAUUGGUUUACAGAAACGGUGCCCACAUCUGGUUGGCUACUUCUAAACGAGCCCGCCCCCAAUCAGCUGACAGCGUAACCACAGGGAGAGAUGCUGCAGCUGAACUGCACACGCUUCUUCAGCUUGUCUUCCUCACUGAAUUUACGCCUAAGCUUCAUUUUAAACAUCUGCUGUUCCAUCAAACACAGCUCUGUAUUCCCCCAACUUCAAAUCAAACGCAGCCCAAUUGAGCAAAUAACCAACUCAAACUGGCACGGUGGUGAAAUGAUACAAUGAACAACAGCAGCAGUAAAAACCCUCUUGCUGAAUAUUGAAGUGAUGCUCAAUCAUAUAUUGCAACAAUCAAAUUGCAGGAUUGACAUUGUGAAAUAUGUAUACAAAAAUUCUCUUGAUAACACAGAAUGUAUUUUUCUUAGUAGUUCAAAUGACCAAAUUAGAAUAUAGAAACAUAGGGUUACCCCCCUCCUCAAUUCAUUCUUUAAAAUGAAUUUUCUUUGCCACAUAAUAUGAACACGGGUACUGCUGAUUGUGGUAUUAGUAUGCAAGUGUGUAUGCACAUACCAUGCUGUGGGCUUGGCUCCUGCCAGCGCAUGGGGUGAGGGGGGGUUACAUAUUAUGGAGGCCAUGUGUGUGCAUGUGUAACAGACAUGCACACACGUACACCAAUCCCUGCUGUUACUACUGAGGUUUCAUCAUUCACACACUCUGCUCACAAAAGGAAAGCAAUUAUGAAGGAUCAGCACAUCUUGUGAUGUGGAAAAUGCACCCUGGAACACUCAUGGCAGGAACGUGUGUACAGGGCUAUAUGUCCGCGAUGGGGGGGGGGGGUUGUGUGUGUAACUGCAUUGAGUCAUCUAAUUGGGAUUCUGCAGUAUGCAUCCGCAUUUGCCGUCAUACAUGCAUGUGUGUAUGGUGAGCCCAUCACAGCGCUGCUGUUGAAAAUGUUAAUUCUCCGCCUACGUACCCGCCCGCCCACCCUCACGAUGCCUCAUUACCUGUGCAAAGGGAAUCAGCCCACUGAUUCAUUCCAAAUAGGUUUUUAAAGAACAGCAUGCAAACGUUACUGCAGCUCACGGCCGGCAUGAACCAUACCCGGAAAUAUUCAGUCAAAGCAAUACAAAUAGAUCACAUGAUCAGGGUGAGAAAGGCUGUUGUAACGUCCGCGCACCCCCCCUAUGAUUAUCUGGCCCGAACCUGAAAUGAGUUUGGACCCCCGCGUGUGUGUUUCCAUGCAUUUGUGCGUGUGUGUAUGUAUCAAUGUAUUCAAAAGUGCUGCAGCUUGUUGCUCCGAUUUUCUUUUUUAACGCCCAAAAAUAAACAUGAAUUCCUGUCUAAGAGGCCUAAAAUACAAUGAGCAAAACCCUGUUGUGUGUUUGUGUGUGUCUGUGUGUGAGUGUGUCGUGGAGUGCCUCCCUAUCUCCGUGGGCCUGCGUGCAGUCACAGCUUUUGCUGCUUGCGCGUGCAACUUCCUGGAAAGCAGCUCUGACUAAUCUGGCCACCCAAACAGUAACAACAACAACAACACGCCUGAGAGAUGACCCCCAACCACACCGAGGAUAUUACACUUACACACUACACACGCACAGGCGCACAUGUGUCUGCUGCCUCACUGUCUCCGUCUCCUCCGUGGGCCAUCUGGCUCACACGUUAAUGAUAACAUGAUCACGGAGGAUUUGCUAUAGUUAUUGGAUUAGCAAAAGGUCACCGUGUCACUUUCGCAGUGUCGCAGCUUUCGAGUCCCUGCUGCUGCAUUUUGUUAUUAUCUGCCACAAUUCCAAGAAAUACACCCACAAACCCCCCCCCCCACACACACACACACACACAAACGAUGGAGGUUUCACCAAAACACAUCAGGUCGUAAACAACAGCUGCGCUUCUGUUGUAUUAUUUAAUAGUGACUCUUGUAUUUGUGUUGAGAACAGUGAAAUGGGGCUUUUUUUUACAUGCAUUUAUUCCUGUUUGAACAGUUAAAUGAAAGUCCGGGCUGGACCGGAUUACCUGGGAUUAACAUGGACUAUCAGUACCCAGUUUAUUUGGGCCAGAGGUGUCCUCCUCUGCUCCUGGUAUCAGUGAAAAGACUCACGGUCAGAAGCUGGAUUCACCCCCUGUUUUAGAUGCGACAUGGAUGUUACUCAGAAAUCAUGCCUUUUGUUUUUUUGCAGAUAAGUCAAGUAGUGACGGGAGCGUUACCUUGUUAUGGCUUUUUGUGUGUAUUUCUAAAAGGGUUAUUAUUAGUAAUAGUAUCAGUAACAUAUUUUGGGUUCAGAAACAUUGAUAUCUAAUCUAUACAACGCGAUUUGCACAAGCGUACAGCGCUUGAUGCAAUAGUGAUUUCAUUAUCUGAGCUUAGCUUGGUAAUUUUAUGCAAAUGUGGGAUCCACAGUUCUCUGAUCUUGGCUCGUAGGGACUUGAGGUGAGAAUAUGUCAACUUUUGCCUCUGUGAAUUUCACAGUUUUUGUUUCUGUGGAUCGCAUAAUAGCUAAAUACUAGAGUAGAGAAUAGCUAUAAUUGAUCUUUUUAAAGUGUGGCUCGGGGUUAAAUUCAUCAAAUGGGCCUAUUGGCAGACUGUUUUACCUUCAUAGCGCCGUGUAAGAGUUCCCUCUAAUGCAGACGGCACCAAGAGAAGUGCAGAACUCAUGCUCUUCCCCACUGAAGCUGAAACAGAAGGAAAAACAAUUUGGUUUUGCCGUCUGGGCUAUUUUUCAUGCGGAGGUUGUCAAACACACCAUGUGCUCUUGAAUGCCGUCCACAGCAAUUUUUUUCAUCCUGUGCAAGCCUGGAUGGGCAAAAUAAAAUGCAAGAGCAGCACAGAAACAAAGCUUUUCCAUGAUAAAAAGAAUUGCAUCCUGUUGCAAUUAGAUUUAGAAUUAGCAUCCGUAAUGUGGCACAUUUCCUUAGUUCCUCUGCAGCACAAUGUUUUGAAAUGUUCAACAUCGUUUUACAUCUUUGAGUAUGCUGUAGAUUGAAGCUGAAAGUGGCCUUAUUUCGAAUAUACCUGUUGGUUUAUCUUCUAAAACAUCCUGUGGGUUUGGAACCAGCGUUGCACUCAUUAGACUGUAACCCAAGAGGUGUGUAAACGCUUCACCCAAAUGUAGAAGUUGCACAGCUGUUUACAAGCAUUUCAACCUCAACAUACCUCUCAAGCAGAGUAACCGACCGCCUGUUGGUGCCAAGACUUUGUAGACAGAAUUUUUGUGGUUUCAAAGCCAAGUAGCAAAACAUCGUUUCCAUUGCCGCUGCUGUUUUUUUUUGAGUCGUUCUGAAAAACCACGUCUGGCUCUGCGUGUCUCAUCAUCCUGACCCAUAUCCAUCCCUCCCCUUUGUCCUCAUCGCCCUCCUUCUGGCCGUCUGCAAGAGUUAUCAUGUGUGGAGGGAAUGAGUUCAUUUUUCAGACCACGAGACAAUACCUCACCCUUCCCGCUCUGGCGCUCUAUCUGAAUCACGGAUCGGGAGGAGGUGGAAAACAUCUCGGCAGUCCAAAACAAACAGCUGUGUGUGUGCGUGUGUGAAUCACCAUUAAGGGCUGCGGUGCUGUGAUAUGUUUCCAGUAGCCUGCUGUCAGGUGGCCAAUGCAGAGAGGGACUCCUACAGCUCCACCGGUGUCUCUGUGGGCCGCCGCUCAGAUAAAUGCGUUACGCUGACAGACAGCCUCUACGAACGGCUCGCCAAUUGGUUUACAAUCUCAAAGGAUUGACUGUUUUCUAACCCCCCUCUAGCUAAAUGACUGCCGGGAAUGAAUGACUGACUCGUUAGGACAGCAAGCAGUGGGAGAUUAGGUAGCAGAAGAGUCAUCUCUGGUUUGUUCAAAGACAUGGACUUUAUAGACCGUAAGUAUUGGAUGUUGUCAUCGUAACAUCGCCCAUUGGUUGGAGGACUCGGCGGUAAAUGGCAGGUUUACGCCAUCUUAAAUAUUUUUGAAAUUUUUGACACAUUAGUCUUUGUUGAUAUGGACGGAUGUGAUAACUUCCUUGCCUGCUUGUUAAAAAGCUGAUUGGAUGUUUGUACUUUGAAUAAUUGAAUUAUUCAGUUGUUGGCAGACAUGUUAACUGAAAAGCUGAGUUAAUGAGUCCUUGGCAACAACACUGAGCAAGAAGUCUGACCAGCAGGAUGGGAUGAAGGUGGGGAGAACAAAUGGUGUGCAUAAGUGGGAGAGAGAAUACGGUUCUGAGAAUCCAAUUUGGUUCCAUUAGGGAUGAUUAGGUUUUGAUGACGGCUGUGAGCCGCAGAGCUGCUGAGAUUAUGGGUUGAGCUGCAGUCUUGAUACAACCUCAGAUAAACCGAAGUGGUUUUGUAUCUCCAUUGUCCUGAAUCCUUUUGGUUUGGGGGAAAUCCUGCAGUGUUUAUGCAGAACAUAUUAUAAGUGGUACUUUGGUAGAGUGGAAACACAGUGCAGCUUCAAUCUCACCUGAAAUCAAACCACAGAGAGCUGACGGAGAAUAUGUUGCAGACUACGGAAAGAAAAAGUAGCCUUUCAGAGCCUAUUUCUCUUUGACAGAAAUUAAAGUGUUUUCUUGUGCUGCCUGCUAUGUAGCUAAAAUACCACUUACUAUUGGCUGUGUUGCAUCGACCCAAUCGAAUACCUGCCCAACACCAUCCAGUACGGACGUCCAGACGCAGGAAAGGCUGCAAAAACAUCCCCUCUUAAUUGAAACACAACAUCAACAACCGGUUCCACACAGUGAAGCUAUUAAACUAGAAGAACAUGGCUACACCUCAGAAGGGUGACUGGUAUCUUUCAACCUGGUUCUUUUGGGAGUUUUUUUCUCCAAAUGACUUAAUUGCUACAACACUUUGUGUCAUUAACGGGGAAGGCAUGCAGGGCUGAAACGCAAAAAGACUUUAAAAGUCAAGAUCAACAUGCCAGGGACCAGGGACCAGGGACCAGGGACCAGGGACCAGGGACCAGGGACCAGGGACCAGGGACCAGGGACCAGGGACCAGGGACCAGGGACCAGGGACUCACAAGACAUUCGGUAUGACGCAAAGGCCAACAGACACACGUGGCUUAAAUACACUGUUGAGGUGCAGGUGAUUGGACACAGGUGAAAACAAUCAGACACGGCAGACAAUCGCAGGACACGGCAGGAAGUGAAGUUACCAGGGACACAAGAGGCCGAAAACUACAAAAUAAAACAGGAAACAAACCCAAACCGUGACGCUUUGAGCACCCGAUUUUUAAGGCAGCAGAGGCUAAACGCGCCUCUCAAAGUGUUUGAUAACACUAUGGAAAGAUCCCCACAAGAAAUGAAACCUUACUUAUAAUGUAUUUUGGAAGGCGUCCUCCUGAUAUGAGUGCCAGUAAAUAUGUGUAAUGUUGGGUGAGAAAAAGAUUGACCCGGUUAUAAUUUCUUGAGCUGGUAUGUCAUAGUGGCAUUUAACAGCUAAAAUGUGAAAAUAUCCUAAGCUUCUCAAACAGAAAGGCUUUGACAUGGAACUAAGCUCCGUGGAAAUCGUAUUUGCAGUUAAUGCCUUCAACCUAGCCAAGCGCUCGCCCUCGAUGGCCCUGAGCAGAGAGCUGAAUCUGUUUCGGGGAAGCGGUUGCCGUGGCUCCCGAUGCUGUUCCGCUGCCAAGCUGGCUCCUGGCCCACUACGUUCCUCUCCUCUUCCCGGAAGGAGCAGGGAAAACCUUGGGAACCAUGGCAACGCCAGCCGGCCAAAUCAGGAGUCAUUUAUAUGUGUCCAUUUCUAAAUUCAAUGUUAAUUUGAGGCAUUCCUUCAGAUGGUUUUAUUAUGAUUGUGCGUCUUUGUGUUUGUAUGCAUGCGUAUGUGUUUAAGAGCUUUGCAGCCAUACAGAAUAUUAAUCACAAGGCCCCAAAGCCCAGAGCUUGUUAGCUACUCAGGGACCAUUUAAGUAGCUGCUUUACAAUCUGCUGCAUUGCACCUUCUGUAGAGAAAGACAACCUCAUCUGAGAAAACUUCUCACCGCAGGCCUUAUUUACACUUUUUUCGUUUUUACAUUUGUGUAUAACAAUCCUAAUUUUCAGUUUAAACGGCUUCGUUUUUUUCUGCGUUGUAGUCUGUGCAGAAUUUGCAUCUGUCAAAUGUCGGGUGUUUAUGAAAGUUGAUCCUACGGGGAAGAAUCACAAUCUUUACAAAUAAAAGCGAAUGGAAGGCAAGCAGAUGGGUUAGAGGGGGAGGAAAAGGGAGAGGUGAGCGCAGGCCGCAGUUAGAUGGAUACAGAAGAGAGAUGGAGUCAUUUAGGGACAGCGAGACGUAGCAGAGGGAGGCGAGCAGAGGCAAGGCGAACAAGCAGACCAGUGUUUUCGAAAAACCUCCCCAGACAGCCUGAGAAAAACACACCGCGGAAACCCACUGCGAGGUUCAUCUCAGGUAGCGGCGGCUGAUGAUAAUAAUGAGGCGGCAGCGCAGUAGAAAGCGGCUCGGUUAGUGGUUGGUUGUCGUUUUCUCGGAAGAUUGUUAUCUCUAGAAUUGUCAAAUGACUCAUCUGUCGCCUUCUAUUCCGUUAUCUGUCAGUUGAGCUUCAUUUGUUUGAAUUGAUUGACAGCAUUUAACAAACAUCAACAAGAAUGACACAGUAAAUGAUAAUAAAUCACGGAGCAACACUUUGUGGCUGCUGUCUAAAUGGUUAAAGACGGCAGCAUCCUGUCUGUCCUGCUUCGUGUCCCGUAUGCACCAAUUCCCUGCACUUCUCGCUAUGUGAGUACCCUUAUUGAUGUGCAGCAUUCUCAAGCCCAUUUCCCGUAUGUUGAACCAUGAAUACUAAAUGCCUUUCUCAAACCAUAAUCCAAAUUUUGACCUGUCCCUUAAAAAACCUCAUCUCAAUCAGGCCCGUGGAAGUUGGUUGGUUACUAGAAACGGCGAAGGACGGCAGGUUGUCGCAGAGCGUUUUGUAUGCUUGCAGCUGUAGCAUUGCAGCAGAGAUGCAUGGUGACUAUGAGGUGAACCCCACCCUGCCUCGCUAUGCGCUUUCAGGGGCCUCGCGUGUUGUCCGAUCCAUCAGGGGAGCACAGCCAGAGAAAAAGUAAGAGCUGAAUAAUUUCACCUCCUUCAGUUUCACUGUGACCAAGAGAGAAAACAAGUGACAAGCCUUUGACGGGAACUCCAUUCGUCUUUCUCAGAAAGACAUUUUAUUUUUGCUUGGCUGCAGCUUUUAAUACCCAUUACCUCUGCGAGUUGCGUCCACGCGAGAAGCAGCCAAAUAAAGCAAAUGAAUAAUCUCUCUUUCUGUACGCUAUCAACAUUAACGGUUUCAAAGAGUUUUAGCCAGACUUGCGUCUGGCAUGAGGUCAGCGCCGCAGCUGUUUUCAUCACCUCGCUCAAUUCUGGGAAGGGAAUCAGAUGCCAAGGGGUCAGUGAGUGCGUGAGAGAGCGCGAAUAUCAGCUGUACAGUAAAAAAAAAGAAGGGGGUCACUGAGUUGGUGGAGCGGGAGAGGCGAGCUGCCCGAGUGUCUCUUUGUUUGAGUCGGAGUCCUGGAGUCGAUGGCGAGAGCGAGCAGAGCAGCAGACACGGCGCUCUGGAGAUGCUCCGUCUUCCUGGAAAGAAUGUGACCUGUAGCGACAUGCCUCCAACGGUCCGUCCUGCACCGCACGCCAGAGCUGGAACCCCGUGCUCACAUCAAAAAGGAGCAGGUUGCAGUUUUGACUCAGUAGCCUCCAGGGGGCCUUACGGGUGCAGUUUUCCAUAGAAAUAUUAAUGCAACGUGUGAAAACGUAAAGGCUCAUUCUGGCCUCUAGCUUCGGUGUUGUUCCUUUUAGAAUUUAAAUCCAUACUUUUCCUGCCGCUUCUAAAAAGAAAACCUUGUCCGGCGUGACCUGUUACAUAUACACAUAUUUUCUUAAAGAUAAUUGAUGAAAAAAGGCCGUUUAUUGUUCUUGUCACAGCCAAAACACUCCAGUUUAACCCCACUUAAAGAAAAUAACAAUACAACUUGAUCUGGCGUUUGCUUUGCAGCAAUGUUUCAAAGUUUUAGCCAGAUAUCCCGGCAGCCUCUGGACUCUUGUCGCCUUCAUCCGGCCAGCAGUGUGGUAGGAGGACGAGGUCAUUUGUAAUACGCAUUCAUGUUCUUUGUGUUUUGCGAGUUUUUGUUGUUUACAGAAACUCUUUUAGGGAGGAUUCUGGCUUUAUUGGUGGGAGAAGUCCUUUUAAGCCCACUGGUGCUGCCUGGGGAAUGUCUCUGAAGCCGGAGGAAUGCACUGACAUCACUGUUGAGCACUUUGCCAGGACUGAAUGGUUGGGAGUAGUUAGACGAUGGGAGUCCAACUCCGUCUCCUCAGUGUCCUCCCCAUGCAAGGUAAUGGUAUUCCCAGAUGUUCCGUUUUUGGCACUGCAGAGUGUUUAUAUGUGAGCACACAGAGAAGGUGGUUUCCCUGGAAAUUCUAAUGUUAGUGGGAAGAAGGUUUAAAUGAUGAGUUUGUCUUGAAAAAUUCAACACACAACUCAACAACCGCCAUUGGGUGGUGUGCUGUGAAACUUGUGCAGGCAUCCAUCUAUUUCAUCCACUUACUUUGCUGGUCUUUUCUGCAGCGCCACCUGCAAGUGGAAAUAUGAUUGUUUUUGGUCUCAUUCUCUCAUUUCAAAUAGCGCAAGACUACAAGUAGACUUCAAAAACUGCUAAAGUUAUUAUUAACAAAUGUUAGUGUGCUAACACGCUGAACUAAGAUACCAACCAUGGUAAACAAUCUAAUGAUGUCAUUCCUGGCAUGUUAGCAUGCUGAUAUUAGCAAUUAGCCUGAAAUACCAUUGUGCAUUAAAGCUACAUUCUGAUUUUUCAGCGUUCUAACAUGUUGUCUUUGUGUUUUGUUUGAUAUAUCUGAUGAAAAUGUAGAUACCUCACAUCGGCCUUACCGCUUUCCUUCUUUUUCUGCACUUCGUGAAUGAAAUUACCUGAUCGCGAGCUUGCUAGAUCUUUGGCCAACGUAAUUUAUGUGAGUGGCAUGAAUUAUAUGAUUACUUUUUAAUUGAUUUUCACGUCUACAUGAACACCACCGCAGCUCUCACAAAAUGAUUAUCCAGUCUUUUUAUUAAUACAUUGUACAUACAUUAGUUUAUUUAAUGAGAAAUGAACAUGUAGACGUCUUAAAGUCUUUUUUGUUUGUUUUUUAGAAAAAGGCCUCUGGCUUAAUAUUAAAUAGAUGUAAAAUGAUGUUUCCUCACUUAUGCAUUAUAGAUGAAGCCCUUCUUGCUUCAUCAAGAGCGCUUGUGAGCGGCUUUCAUGCUCUUUGGGGGAGAAAGAGCACGCUGGCUGCACCAGCCCCAGAACCAGUGCUGCGAUAUUGUAAACAAACGCAGGAGGAUGUGCAAUGCCCCCCCCCCCUCGCUCCCUUUGCGCACACACACGGUUUCCACACGUCUAUCUGUUUCUGUUUAAGUGUGAGAUAACGAUGGGCGGGUGCUUCCACAGAAGAGGUAGGAGGCGCCGACUGCCGAGAAGCAGCGUGAAAGCAAAGCGCCAAGAGAGCUAUGUGCGUGCGUGUGCGUGUGUGUGUGUGUGUGUGUGGUGUGUGUGCGUGCGUGUGUGUGCGUGCGUGUGCGUGUGUGUGUGUGUGUG
ensembl:lncRNA